rnacentral:rRNA from 1 species
CGCGGCCUAUCAGCUUGUUGGUGAGGUAAUGGCUCACCAAGGCGUCGACGGGUAGCCGGCCUGAGAGGGUGACCGGCCACACUGGGACUGAGACACGGCCCAGACUCCUACGGGAGGCAGCAGUGGGGAAUAUUGCACAAUGGGCGAAAGCCUGAUGCAGCAACGCCGCGUGAGGGAUGACGGCCUUCGGGUUGUAAACCUCUUUUAGCAGGGAAGAAGCGAAAGUGACGGUACCUGCAGAAAAAGCGCCGGCUAACUACGUGCCAGCAGCCGCGGUAAUACGUAGGGCGCAAGCGUUAUCCGGAAUUAUUGGGCGUAAAGAGCUCGUAGGCGGUUUGUCGCGUCUGCUGUGAAAUCCCGAGGCUCAACCUCGGGCCUGCAGUGGGUACGGGCAGACUAGAGUGCGGUAGGGGAGAUUGGAAUUCCUGGUGUAGCGGUGGAAUGCGCAGAUAUCAGGAGGAACACCGAUGGCGAAGGCAGAUCUCUGGGCCGUAACUGACGCUGAGGAGCGAAAGGGUGGGGAGCAAACAGGCUUAGAUACCCUGGUAGUCCACCCCGUAAACGUUGGGAACUAGUUGUGGGGUCCAUUCCACGGAUUCCGUGACGCAGCUAACGCAUUAAGUUCCCCGCCUGGGGAGUACGG